ACGAGGAGAUUGCCAGCAGCCCGAGCUGCAGCCGGGAGCGAGGCAUGGGCGGAGGACCUUGCUGCGUCCGGGGCACGGGAAUCAAGCAGCAAGCCGGAGACCGCCGGUGAUCAUAGAGGCGCUGGUUAAGAGAGACGGAUCAACGGAGGCAUCUACAUCGAGCUAUCAAGGAAGUGCAAAAAAUGCAGAGGGAGGCUGGAAGGGGAAGGGAGCAGCGAAGAGGAUAGAUAAUUUACUUUUCUAAAAAAAUUCAAUUGUGUCCAUCGGUGAGACAGUGACUAGCGACGGUGAUGGAGGAAAGCUUGUUGAUCACGCCACUCGAACCAGGAUAAGGUUCAUAUUUUCCGGACAAGUCUGUGAGUGCAGUUUAUAUUAUUUUUCGGCAUCUAUUCACGAAAUUUAGGGCUUUCCUUACCUUUAUAUUACUAGAGAGAAACGGAGAAUGUGUAGAUGGAGUAUUUGUUCGGAGUCAAGGUAGGAGAUAGAACAACUGAUGUGUAGGACUCACAUACAUAGUAUACAUAAAAUGCAGGCUAAAAAGAGAUCUACCUGUUUACCAAGGAUUUGUUUGUAAGUGCUGGAGCUGACAAAUAGGUAUACUAUAUAAAUAAUAUAUGUUCAAAGUUUAGUCGAUAAAUAAAUAAUAUUAUACCCUAUAUAAAGGGUGGACGGAUUCACGUUCUUGGGCUGUUCGGGACACUGUUGAUGGCGAUUUUUUACCAAUUGGUGGUUUCUGUUUGCCUCUCUCCAGUCAAAAGCGCUGGCUUUUGUGAACUGCCCACCUCCAGAAAAUUCUGCCCAUACAUGUUGCCAUAGAACAUAGGAGAAGAUCUCACCGCCUUGAGAGGAACCAAAAUUUGUCCCCUCUACCUUCGAUUAGGCCUUCCCUGAUCCAUUCCUCUCUUCCUCUCUCAUGUUGGCAUCCUGCACCUCGGUGCACGUCUCC